UACGUAGGGUGCAAGCGUUGUCCGGAUUUAUUGGGCGUAAAGAGCUCGUAGGCGGUUUGUCGCGUCUGCCGUGAAAGUCCGGGGCUCAACUCCGGAUCUGCGGUGGGUACGGGCAGACUAGAGUGAUGUAGGGGAGACUGGAAUUCCUGGUGUAGCGGUGAAAUGCGCAGAUAUCAGGAGGAACACCGAUGGCGAAGGCAGGUCUCUGGGCAUUAACUGACGCUGAGGAGCGAAAGCAUGGGGAGCGAACAGG
rnacentral:rRNA from 1 species